rnacentral:lncRNA from 1 species
GUUUAAAGUAAGACAGACAAAAUAAAGUUUGAGGAAACUAUUUUUUAAAUUGUACAUUUAUCAUGACAGUUUGGGGGUUAAUCUCUGGAACCAGCACAAGGAUGAAUGAGUGUAUCUAUGGAAAAUCCAGAAGGUUUGACCUUCCAGAGUCAACAGUGUGGAUUUUGCUGACUCCCUACUUAUGGUAAGUGUCCGCUCCUAUCCCAGUUACAUUCAACCAGAAGACAUCACCUAUCUAAAACCAUGGGUGAUUUCCUGGGGAGUACAGCACCGAGGUAAUCACCACCGAGGAAAGCGAAAGCAAAAGACGGAGUCAUGGGUUUCAGCCAUAGUCUCGGUUUCACUGGAGCUGUGUCAAGCAGCGAGAUUGUGACCGUGGCCUGUGCCAGCAAGAGAGCCGGAAAGCAGAGGAAAACACUGAACUGCAUUGCUCUAAUAAAACUGUUUUGGAUAAGGUUGGACUACAGUUAAUUUUGACCCUAUCAGUGAAAAAUGUUAAGUAAAUUAUGAGGGUAAACAAGAUUUAUUGUGUUAGAGAACAUAUUCUUUUACAUGAUUAUGGAA